UACAAUAGGAAAAGAAAAGGAACAUGCUCUAUCAACCUAUCAAGCAGGAUAUAAGAACUGUAGAUGCAAUUUGAACCGUGAAAAAAGUUCUAGUUCUUCUCAAUUUACAAACAUAUAAUAAUAAUUGUAACCAAAUGUAUAUCCACGAUCAAUCAUCCAUAAGGCAAACACCUUUAUUUUCUUGUGUCUUAAUCUUGUGACAGUGAAGAAUAUGAGAAAUUUUAACCUUUAUCUUUUCAAUAUACUUGACAACAGUUCUUCAAAUGAUAAGUAAAAGUGCAGACCCCAGCUAUGACUGUUUAAAAAAGACAGAAUACUGAACAGCCAGCAGACGAGUAUUAAAGAGGAGAGGACAACUGAUCUUUUUUUUGCUCAUGAAAGUUUUCAAUCAUUCUUGAAUUGUAUGUUCAAAGGCUGAAAACAUAAUUCAACACACAACAUCCUGGAUGCUCAAGAAAAGCAGGAGAGUUAAUCGAUCAAGAUUAUGACCACGUUAAAGUAACUCCUAUAUACCAUCAGUGAUGUAAUUUGCAGAAAUUCUCUCACGACCAUUCCUGGCCCCUCUCCGCUGCAUGCCGGACAUCCACCUGUAACCCUCAGAAGUUUGGUUGUUGUCUUUCUGUGAUAAAGAGAUGGUGAAACUAUGAAAUAUCAAGCUAAGUGAAAAUUUUAUAAUCUAAGUUGAUGGAAAUGCUUACUGCUUUCUUUCCGUCUCGUUCCUUUUGACCUCAUGGAAAGUAUCUGCAGAAUAAGGUAGUUUUUGCUUGAGCUAAAAGAAAAACAAUAAUGUAAUAGGCUAAACAAUUACUCCACGUGAAUGCAGAUAUUCGAAAAAUUAGGCAAAAACUUAUAUCAAUAAAUAAACAACUGCGGUUGUUUAUAUUGAGUUGGAAGUAAAAGUUGAAUACAAACAAUAAUUCUAAAGAAAGAGAUGGAUUUCAGAAUUUCCUACUUGAUUAGCAUGGUAACUCUACCUAAAGCACAGUACACUUUAGUACAUAGAACUGGAGAAGACAAUUGGAAAUGAUAUAACGCUGGAGUAUAUAAUAAGCUGGGGUCGGGGCGGGUUUAAUACACUGGGUCGGGCGGGUUCAAUUAAUCGAAUGGGUAGGUCAUCUAUCCAAUCAGAACAUGCCACGUGUUAAAAAACAUCUGGAAACAAGUUUUAACGACUGAGGGAUAUAUAUAGCCCUAAUGUAUAACGGUGGGGACAUAUUUGUUAAAGAAUUCAAAUGGAGGUAGGAUAUAUUUGAUCCUUAACCGAAAAAAAAAUUAUGAAAAGAAAGGUGAAGAAGAAAUAAAUUAAGGAAACAUAGAAGAAGAAAGAUAAAUACUUUGAAUGUUGUAGCUCUGGUUGCAGUAGUGGAAUGAGGAGAAGGAUCAGAAGAUUGAAUUAAAAAAUGGAAAAGGUUUGUAUACUUUAUUUGGGUUGGGUAUGGGUUUUUUUGAGUGGUGGGUUGAGUCUUUUAUUUCGGGUGUGUCAUGUGUCGGCUCCGUUAAAUAAG
rnacentral:lncRNA from 1 species